GGGGGCGGGUCCGGAAGUGACGCGUGGGACGUGACGCGCGCGGCGGCGGCAAAGGCGGCCGGGGGCGGGGCUCGCUCGGUCCGGCGCCCGGCCCGGGACGGGACGACCUGUGACAGAUAAGUAUAAUACAAGGAAGGGGGUCAUGAGAGCAAAUGGGAGAUCACAGCAAAGUGCUCCAGGAAAAUUGAGGAGGCAGAUUGAAAGCCUGUCAGCUCCAGAGGGUGUGGAAGGCUGUGUGGAAGAGAUAAUGUCUGAGCCCAGUCUCAAAGAGGAUUCUGAAGGGCAGAGAGGAAGAAGGUGGGCACUGUAGGCAUGGAAGACUGGCCGAGAUUGGUACAUCAUGUUUGGGCCUGUUGUUUGGCUAGGAGUAGCCAAAAGUGGCUCUUCUGAGAAUAAUACCUUCAGAAAUUCAAGAAAGGAAACAAAAAUGACUGUCA